AGCUCCAAUAGCGUAUAUUAAAGUUGUUGCGGUUAAAAAGCUCGUAGUUGGAUUUCUGUCGAGGAUGGCCGGUCCGCACUUUGUGCGUGCAUCUGGUUCAGCCUUGGCAUCCUCCUGGGGAACGUAUCUGCGCUUAAUUGCGUGGUGCGGUAUCCAGGACUUUUACUUUGAGGAAAUUAGAGUGUUCACGGCAGGCAAACGCCUUGAAUACAUUAGCAUGGAAUAAUAAUAUAGGACCUUGGUCCCAUUUUGUUGGUUUCUGGAACUGAGGUAAUGAUUAAUAGGGAUAAUUGGGGGCAUUCGUAUUAACGUGUCAGAGGUGGAAUUCUUGGAUUACGUUACGACGAACUACUGCGAAAGCAUUUGCCAAGGAUGUUUUCA
rnacentral:rRNA from 1 species